UUUAUCCGCAGUUGAACUGCACG
rnacentral:snRNA from 1 species